rnacentral:rRNA from 1 species
GACAGAGGAUGCAAGCGUUAUCCGGAAUGAUUGGGCGUAAAGAGCGUGUAGGCGGCCAGGUAGGUCGGUUGUGAAAACUGGAGGCUCAACCUCCAGACGUCGACCGAAACCAUCUGGCUAGAGUCCGGAAGAGGAGAGUGGAAUUCCUGGUGUAGCGGUGAAAUGCGCAGAUAUCAGGAAGAACACCCGUGGCGAAAGCGGCUCUCUGGGACGGUACUGACGCUGAGACGCGAAAGCGUGGGGAGCGAACAGG